rnacentral:lncRNA from 1 species
GGCCACGCCCCGAAGCUGAAAACGGAACUCCCGUUUUUCUGCACUGAGAAAUUCAUAUAUGCUCCUUAGGACCUUUGCUCUAGUUUUUACCAUUUCCUCAUCCAGAGUUGUUAUGUUGCAUAUGUUUCUGCAGUUAUUAAUGACCUUAUCAAGAGGGGGGUCCAGGUUAACAUUCAGCAUAUUUAAAACUUGUUCAAGCUGUUCCUGUGGGGCAAGGCUGCUGCCUUCUUGUUCUUUGAUGCUCAGCGGCGUGGCUUUCUCCGGAAGAAUAGGGCAAGAUGUCCACAGCAGCUGGAGAACGUCGCACUGCUUGAACUUUGGGUUCACCUGUGCUCCAUUGAACUUGAUAAGAGGAAGUGUUCCAUUUACCUCCUGGUACUGAGGGUGAAAGCGGAUGUAUUCCGCAGGGGCCCGCUCCGGACACAAGAAGGGUAUUAAGGACAGCUCUUUCAGAAAGUUUCCAGAUAGCAAAUCCGUUCG